GUUGGGGUAGCUGUUGUGGGUGGUGGGUCAUCCGGUUCACGGCGGUGGAAGUUGCGGUGGCACCCACAAGCAGCACAUUUGAGGGAAGUUGGGUCAGUUGGGGUGGCUGUUGGCGACGGCAUGAAUUCACCGCAACCGUCUAAAGCAUGGCCGCCUAAGCUGGCUGCAUGGUUCUUCAGACAUUCUUUGUAGGUUAUGACGAUGGGUGGCGCUUGGUGGUGGUGGUGGUGGUGGUGAGGCUUGUGACGCUUGAGAACACCGUUGGUGAAAGAUACAGGCUUGGUGCGAGUUGGUGUUUCACUCACUG
rnacentral:lncRNA from 1 species